GAUGAACGCUAGCGGCAGGCUUAAUACAUGCAAGUCGAGGGGCAUCAAGGUACACGAAAGUGUAUUGUUGGCGACCGGCGGACGGGUGAGUAAUAGGUAGGUAACCUACCUCAUACUGAGGCAUAGCUGGGAGAAAUUCCAGGUAAUUCCUCAUGAGGUUAUAUGACACAUGUGAUAUAAUCAAAGGUAUCGCAAGGUACUGGUAUGAGAUGGGCUUACUGACCAUUAGCUAGUUGGUGAGAUAAGAGCUCACCAAGGCGAAGAUGGUUAGGGGUUUUGAGAGAGAGACUCCCCACAUUGGAACUGAGAUACGGUCCAGACUCCUACGGGAGGCAGCAGUAGGGAAUAUUGGGCAAGUGGGCGGAAGCCUGACCCAGCCAUCGCCGCGUGAAGGAAGACGGCCUUAUGGGUUGUAAACUUUCUUUACUAUGCGACUAACUAGAUUUACGAGUAUAUUCUAUAGAUGUAGAUAGACAAAGCACGUA
rnacentral:rRNA from 1 species